rnacentral:rRNA from 1 species
AACGUAGGAGACAAACGUUAUCCGGAGUUACUGGGCGUAAAGGGCGCGCAGGCGGUCUUGAAAGUCAGGCGUGAAAGCCCCGGGCUUAACCUGGGAAUUGCGCUUGAUACUCUGAGACUGGAGUACGGGAGAGGAGAGUGGAAUUCCCAGUGUAGAGGUGAAAUUCGUAGAUAUUGGGAAGAACACCAGUGGCGAAGGCGGCUCUCUGGACCGUAACUGACGCUGAGGCGCGAAAGCGUGGGGAGCAAACAGG